rnacentral:rRNA from 1 species
GGAAUCUUGUGCAAUGGCCGCAAGGCUGACGCAGCGACGCCGCGUGCGGGAUGACGCUUUUCGGAGUGUAAACCGCUGUCAGGUGGGACGAAGGUCCCGGGGAGGAAAUGCCCUGGGGAUGACGGUACCACCAGAGGAAGCCCCGGCUAACUUCGUGCCCGCCCCCGCGGUAAUACGAAGGGUGCGAGCGUUGUUCGGAAUUAUUGGGCGUAAAGCGCACGUAGGCGGCCUUGUAAGUCUCACUGUGAAAGCCCGGGGCUCAACCCCGGGAGGCCAGGGGAUACUGCGAGGCUGAAGACAAGCAGAGGUUGGUAGAAUUCCGGGUGUAGCGGUGGAAUGCGUAGAGAUCCGGAGGAAUACCAGAGGCGAAGGCGGCCAACUGGGCUUGUUCUGACGCUGAGGUGCGAAAGCGUGGGGAGCGAA